rnacentral:rRNA from 1 species
UGGGGAAUAUUGCACAAUGGGCGCAAGCCUGAUGCAGCCAUGCCGCGUGUGUGAAGAAGGCCUUCGGGUUGUAAAGCACUUUCAGCGGGGAGGAAGGCGGUGAGGUUAAUAACCUCAUCGAUUGACGUUACCCGCAGAAGAAGCACCGGCUAACUCCGUGCCAGCGGCCGCGGUAAUACGGAGGGUGCAAGCGUUAAUCGGAAUUACUGGGCGUAAAGCGCACGCAGGCGGUCUGUCAAGUCGGAUGUGAAAUCCCCGGGCUCAACCUGGGAACUGCAUUCGAAACUGGCAGGCUAGAGUCUUGUAGAGGGGGGUAGAAUUCCAGGUGUAGCGGUGAAAUGCGUAGAGAUCUGGAGGAAUACCGGUGGCGAAGGCGGCCCCCUGGACAAAGACUGACGCUCAGGUGCGAAAGCGUGGGGAGCAAACAGG